GAUGAACGCUGGCGGCGUGCCUAAUACAUGCGAGUCGAGCGAACAGAUGAGGAGCUUGCUCCUCUGACGUUAGCGGCGGACGGGUGAGUCACACGUGGAUAACCUAACUCUAAGACUGGGAUAACUUCGGGAAACCGGAUCUAAUACCGGAUAAUAUAUUGAACCGCAUUGUUCAAUAGUGAAAGACGGUUUUGCUGUCACUUAUAGAUGGGUCCGCGCCGGAUUAGCUAGUUGGUGGGGUAACGGCUUACCAAGGCGACGAUCCAUAGCCGACCUGAGAGGAUGAUAAGCCAGACUGGGACUGAGACACGGCCCAGACUCCUACGGGAGGCAGCAGUGGGGAAUAUUGGACAAUGGGCGAAAGACUGAUCCAGCAAUGCUGCGUGAGUGAUGAAGGACUUAGGGUUGUAAAGCUCUUGUACCCGGGAUGAUAAUGACAGUAACGGGAGAAUAAGCCACGGCUAACUCAGUG
rnacentral:rRNA from 1 species